rnacentral:rRNA from 1 species
AUUGAACGCUGGCGGCAGGCCUAACACAUGCGAGUCGAACGGUAGCACAGAGAGCGUGCUCUCGGGUGACGAGUGGCGGACGGGUGAGUAAUGUCUGGGAAACUGCCCGAUGGAGGGGGAUAACUACUGGAAACGGUAGCUAAUACCGCAUAACGUCGCAAGACCAAAGUGGGGGACCUUCGGGCCUCACACCAUCGGAUGUGCCCAGAUGGGAUUAGCUAGUAGGUGGGGUAAUGGCUCACCUAGGCGACGAUCCCUAGCUGGUCUGAGAGGAUGACCAGCCACACUGGAACUGAGACACGGUCCAGACUUCUACGGGAGGCAGCAGUGGGGAAUAUUGCACAAUGGGCGCAAGCCUGAUGCAGCCAUGCCGCGUGUAUGAAGAAGGCCUUCGGGUUGUAAAGUACUUUCAGCGGGGAGGAAGGCGGUGAAGUUAAUAGCUUCACCGAUUGACGUUACCCGCAGAAGAAGCACCGGCUAACUCCGUGCCAGCCGCCGCAGUAA